UCUUUUAUGCAGCAAUGCGAAUUGAUCAUGGCGUUAGGCCUUGAUUUAAAGAUAGUAUAUAGUAUCAAGCUAGAACUUGGACACUAUGUGUUAGAGACGAAAGUCUUCUCAUGGUACCAUAGCUCUAAUGCUUAGAUAAUAAAUACUUUUU
rnacentral:misc_RNA from 1 species